UCGAUUGUAGUAUUUUUAGAGCUUGUUAGUGGAAUUGCCAUGCAGCGUUAUUUAAAGACGAUUUAUUAAGAAAUUGCAUCGCAAUCCUUUAUAGGCAAAAACAGUAUUUUGUGCACCGAAUGUUUGAGAAAAGUCAAAUCGAAAUCCUCCCUGCAUGAAAAACUGUCAUCUAUUUUGAAACAGUGUUUCGAUUGAUUACUUGAUUGAUUGAUAAAGACAAACGGUCUGCGUAACUAUUAUGGUGUGUUUCGUCACCACUUAGGGUUGCGGCACCAUGGCUACCAUGCAGCGUGGGCAAUUAAAAAAAUAAACUGCAGUUAACUUCUAUUAUAACAGUUAAUCGUGCGAGAAUUCAUGUUUAAAACGAAGAAAAAAAGAGCUGCCGCAGCAACUAGCGUAAAUAAUUGUCACCUGAAGCUAUCAUAAUUGUAUAUCACGCGAUAAUUUAUUUUUAAAACGUGGCAGGGAGUUCAAUUUCCCAGAGCAUGAAGCGUGAACUAUUUAAUAUUCCUUUUAUUUAUUAUGUUAAACAGUAUUUCAUACAUGAAGUGCCAUGAACAGCAACAGGCGCGAAUGAUUCAAAGCAAUGCGACCAAUGUGCUGGUAUAUCACGCGAUAUUUUGUAUUCAAAGCUUUUAGGGAGAAGGGAAAAUGGCAGAGCAACUAGCUUAAACGAUUGACGACUGGAAAUAUCAUGCUGGUAUGUCACGCAAAAAUUCAUCUUUUAAAUCUCGAAAGAUUUGGUGGAAAUUGGGAGGGAAAAUGCCUUGGCAACAAGCCUGAAUGAAUAAAUUUCCCUCCACUUUAACAUGUCAUGCGAUAAUCAAGAAGGUAGGUCCCAGAGCAACAAGCGUGGAUGAUUGCCGGAUUGGCUGAUACUGUUUCAUGGCGACACAUUCAGCCAAAGGGGUGGUGUUAUGUUAACCUCUGAUCAUUUCGUAUAAAAACGGCAACAGCAGGCAUCGCUUGUCAUUCGCAGGAGCUUUCCCUUAGUGUUUGUGCAAGUAACACUUCAAGAAAACAAGAAUCCAAAUACAAGUGGGAUAUACUUUCUGAACCAUGAAUCGUGUUUUGUUUUUCAUUAUUGGAGCGACUCUCAUCGUUGGCUCUUUGGGAAGAUGGAUUUAUAUUAGAGACGAAGAACAUGACUCUUUCAAAAGAGGCGAGUCAUGUGAAUGUGACUCAGACAGUUAUGGCAGCUCUACAGGCACAUCCUAUUCGAGACUUUCCUACAGCGAAUGUCCAUCUGGAAAAAGUAGUUGUGCAGCUAUUGGUUAUUGGAACUAUUGCUGCAAAUAGAACUGAGUUCUGACAUAUUUUUUUUUCUCUUUUCUAUUGAAAAUAUAUUGUAACAGCAUGACAAUACCGAAAUAAGACCGACUUCACAGUCGACAUUCUGGAAAAUCCUUUUCAUCCCUAGCGGUUGUCCAUCAGGAACAAGUGAAUGUUUGUCAGCCGGCUUGUUGUGCUAUACUUCUGCAAACAGAACUGAUUUAUUAACGUCUUUCUUUCAAUAGAUCCAGGCUUACAUUGCUGGUAGCCUUGUAAACAUAUAUUGUAACCGCUAGAAAAAUGUGGAACAAAAGUGAGUUCACAAUCAACUCCCCGGAAUGCACUUUUUCUUUUAGUUUGACAGUUUAUUACACAACCGCGUCGCUCUUGAGGUUUCUCCUGUCUGUACCUGUACAACCAAUCUCAUAGUAGAUCAAUGACCACCUUGGCGCUUCGCACGUGAAAGCUUCCUUAUAAAGUGUGUGUGUAUGUGUCAGUUCCUGAUAUUAUACGAUAUACCUGAUUUAUUUCAUAUGAUAUUUAAUUUCCAAAUUUUAAGACUCUGCAUUACACUGCAUUGCCAUUACUUUGAUUGGUACACCUCGUAUAUUUUCGGUCAACUUGUGCGUCAAGUAUUGCUUUCAAUAUUGAACAACCAUUGGAAUUAGAUUUUGGUAGAAAAACUUAGCUACAAUCAUGCAUGCCAAAGGCACACAAGAAUAUUUAGAGCCGGAGAACCUUAAGUUUCUAGCAAGAGUCGUAUUAUGGAAACCAACGCCUAUAUUUUGAGCUAAACCGACAAGUUACUUCUCAGCGACCCAAAGUCAUUAUGAAUGAUUUCAAUGCUUAUUCCACAAACCUCGAGACCAAAAGUAUAUAGUAGCCGAUUCAUUUUCUGUGUACUGGCCCUGCAGCGCUAACACGGCCUAGGCUGUUUAUUCUGGUCGUAGUUCCGUUUAAUAGCAAUCAAUAACAAUCAAAUAUUUAGCCACAUGCAGCAGGAAACAGUCAAGUUUUUGUAAAUUGACCAUUCAUAUUUCCAACUAUUUUUGUCGU